rnacentral:rRNA from 1 species
GUGGGGAAUAUUGCGCAAUGGGGGAAACCCUGACGCAGCAACGCCGCGUGAAGGAUGAAGGUCUUCGGAUCGUAAACUUUUGUCUUCUGGGAAGAACAAAUGACGGUACCAGAGGAGGAAGCCACGGCUAACUACGUGCCAGCAGCCGCGGUAAUACGUAGGUGGCAAGCGUUGUCCGGAUUUACUGGGUGUAAAGGGCGUGUAGGCGGGAGGAUAAGUCAGAUGUGAAAUACCGAAGCUCAACUUCGGGGCUGCAUUUGAAACUGUUCUUCUUGAGUGCAGGAGAGGUAAGUGGAAUUCCUAGUGUAGCGGUGAAAUGCGUAGAUAUUAGGAGGAACACCAGUGGCGAAGGCGACUUACUGGACUGUAACUGACGCUGAGGCGCGAAAGCGUGGGGAGCAAACAGGAUUAGAUACCCUUGUAGUCC